AUGAAAAGCAGCACCUGCUGCAGUUCGUCAAAAAAUAAUCGUACCAUCGUCACGUACGCGGGGCUAAACAGGACUGUGGGUGUCUGUGCUUUUCAGGUGGACCAAGCCGUAUCAAUGGCGUUCGGAGAGAACGGAGCAACCAACUACAUCCGCAUCCAGGGUAACGGCAUUACCGCCGGAGCGACGACGGAGGCGGCCAUGGCGGAGCGGGGGGUGGAGUCGGUCCUGUUCCGGGGGAAGAAGCUGAUGCCGCAGACCAACGACGAGCGGCUGGACGGCGUGGUGGAGCAGCUAUUGUUCGGUGCUGCUAUUUUCCAUUCGCUGCUGGGUUGCUUCUACUCUCCACCAAUCUGUCAAGUAGCAAAGAGUAGGUUUGACCUCAAUUUCGAUGCAGACAUGGAUUGGGAUGUGAUGCAUGUACUUGCUAAUUAA
rnacentral:rRNA from 1 species